ensembl:lncRNA
GGCAAAGCAAAUAGCUGUUUAAUUUUUUCUCUCUGACAAUCAGAAUCAAGCUCAGUUCUUCAAGACUAUUAUGAUUUCUUCAGCUUUCCAGAUUUUACUCCCUCUGAUGAGCACUAUCAAAAAACAAUGAAUUCCUCAUGGAUUGAGGGGGACUAAGAUCUGCAUCUAUGCUAUGAAUCACCCAGCAGAUACAUGGAUAUAGAACAAAGAAAGUUAAUGAAGAUCUCCAGAGAUGGUCAUCAUUAUAUUUCCACUUCCUAAUUAAGGCUUAAGUGUUUCCUUUUGCUUUGAAGAAACAGAUACGCAGCUUCUUAUCAGGAUCACGUACUUAUAUAAGACAAAAAGAGCUCCAACAUGUUACUUCUGGAAAUGCCCACACAUUUACAUUUUCCGAAGCUAUAUCCUCAGAACCACUCCCAGUUUACACCGAUGCUGAUAUUGUCCUAAGAAAGCUAUACUGAUUUGCACCAGACAAUCUGUUUUGGUCUUCGAAUUCAACAGGGUCAUUCUUGCUUAUCACUUUUAAAACUGGGCUGUGAGAGGAAGGAAUUGGAAGAACAGGGCCUCUGAUUCUCUAACAUUUUCUACAACCAGAGGUAAUCUUAGAUGUGGAGUGAAUGAAGUGAAGUCUGUUAUCAAUCCAUAACAUCUGCUGCAGUGUCAAGUGAUGAAAUGGGUGACUCCAGAGCCCAAGACAGCUGGGAUGGCUUUCUUAAUGCAGUAGGGACAAAAAAAGAAAAAAAGAAGCAAAACAAAACAAAACAAAACAGGAAAAAAAAAAAAAGAAUAAGAAGAAAGAAAUCUGACCACUAUGAACAAUGCAUUUAAUUCCCUCUUGUAUAUGUGGGAGAGAGGGCAUGCAGACUUGUGGAACUGGUUCCAAUCUCACUGUUGGUGAUGAGGUGGAGAAGAUGCGUUGCUUCUUACCAGGAGACUGGAAGAACCCAAAUGAAGAUGAAUAGAUUGUCUUACUUCAGUACGAAUCAUAGACUGUCUUGGGCUGGAAGGGACACUAAAGAUCAUCUAAUUCCAACCUUCUUGUUGAGAACAAAUUGCUGCAGACUGCAAAAAGGAGAGAUUCUCUUGGAAUUCCUCAAGCAUAUUGCUGGGAUGGUCAUGGGAACAAAGUCAUCUCUGCCAUAUAAGCAGUCAUACAAAGUCCCAGAGCAAGAUUUUCAUCAAUGGGCUGGACAGAAGCACAUCUGGCUGGUGGUUACACUUCAAGGUAUGAUUCACAGUGGUAUCCCCAAUCUGCCAUCCAAAGGAUGACUUUAUUCCCCAUCAGUCAUGAAAUACGUUCCUUUAUUUCAAUAGAAAUUUCCUUAAUGAUUGCUACUUU